GUGGGGAAUAUUGGACAAUGGGCGAAAGCCUGAUCCAGCCAUGCCGCGUGUGUGAAGAAGGUCUUCGGAUUGUAAAGCACUUUAAGUUGGGAGGAAGGGCAGUAAGUUAAUACCUUGCUGUUUUGACGUUACCGACAGAAUAAGCACCGGCUAACUUCGUGCCAGCAGCCGCGGUAAUACGAAGGGUGCAAGCGUUAAUCGGAAUUACGGGGCGUAAAGCGCGCGUAGGUGGUUUUGUAAGUUGGAGGUGAAAUCCCCGGGCUCAACCUGGGAACUGCCUCCAAAACUGCAUGACUAGAGUACGGUAGAGGGUAGUGGAAUUUCCUGUGUAGCGGUGAAAUGCGUAGAUAUAGGAAGGAACACCAGUGGCGAAGGCGACUACCUGGACUGAUACUGACACUGAGGUGCGAAAGCGUGGGGAGCAAACAGGAUUAGAAACCCUGGUAGUCC
rnacentral:rRNA from 1 species